rnacentral:rRNA from 1 species
GAAGGGUGCAAGCGUUACUCGGAAUUACUGGGCGUAAAGCGUGCGUAGGUGGUUUGUUAAGUCUGAUGUGAAAGCCCUGGGCUCAACCUGGGAAUGGCAUUGGAUACUGGCAGGCUAGAGUGCGGUAGAGGGUAGUGGAAUUCCCGGUGUAGCAGUGAAAUGCGUAGAGAUCGGGAGGAACGUCUGUGGCGAAGGCGACUACCUGCACCAGCACUGACACUGAGGCACGAAAGCGUGGGGAGCAAACAGGAUUAGAUACCCUGGUAGUCCACGCCCUAAACGAUGCGAACUGGAUGUUGGGAGCAAUUAGGCUCUCAGUAUCGAAGCUAACGCGUUAAGUUCGCCGCCUGGGGAGUACGGUCGCAAGACUG